UACGAGUGCCUCAAGCGUUAUCCGGAAUCAUUGGGCGUAAAGGUUGUGUAGGUGGUUGUAUUAGUCUUCUGUUAAAUUCUUCGGCUUAACCGGGGGCAUGCAGGGGAAACGGUACGACUAGAGGAUGCGAGGGGUCUGUGGAAUUCAUAGUGUAGCGGUAAAAUGCGUUGAUAUUAUCGAGAACACCAAAAGCGAAGGCAGCAGACUGGAGCACUCCUGACACUGAAACAAGAAAGCGUGGGUCGCGAAUGGG
rnacentral:rRNA from 1 species